AGAGGGUGAGACUCCCGUCCGCCUGGCAGAGUGAGUCAUUUGUCAACGAGUCGAGUUGUUUGGGAUUGCGGCUCUAAUUUGGUGGUAAAUUCCAUCUAAAGCUAAAUAUUGGUGGGAAACCGAUAGCGUACAAGUACCGUGAGGGAAAGAUGCAAAGAACUUUGAAAAGAGAGUUAAAGAGUACCUGAAAUUGCUGAAACGGAAGCGAAGGAAACCAGUGUUUGUUUGUUCAUAUUUCCCUGGCCACUUGUGGUUUGGGCGCUGUGGGCUUGCGUGAGUUUGGGUUGGUUGAUUCCUUUGGAAGAGCGCAGUCAGAGUUGAUGUCU
rnacentral:rRNA from 1 species